rnacentral:lncRNA from 1 species
UCAGCCUCCCAAAGUGCUGGGAUUACAGGCGUGAGCCACUGCGCCAGGCUAUGAAACAAACUUUCUUCCACCCACAGCUUUCUCGUCUCUCCCCAUUUACAGCAGUAAGACAGCCUAACCUGGGAAAGAGAGAGGGAAGCUACUUCCAAAUGGAUGCCUGUCCCCAUCAGUAAUAACCAAGUCUAUUCAAGUGCCAGAUGUUAACUUUAAAAGAAGGGAACAUCAAAAGUCCAACUUUCUUCGCCUAGCUUUGUCAGGAAUGUUUUUACCCUCAAUCUAAAACUAAUGGAAAGAUGGAAUAAAAUCUAAAGAAAUGUCCUUAACAGCAUAGUCACAAAGAGCUCUACCCUACCAAGCCACUCUGCAAGUCCCACUCUCAAAGGAAGACUCACAGGUGACUGAGAAGAUAAACUCGCUAUUGUUUCCAUUAUCCUUCAGUUCAUCUGGCACCUUUGAAGAAAUAGACUUCGAUAAGACUCACAAGUCUCAAGGCCCCUUCUUUAUGAAAGAAAUAGCUAAACCUCUACACUCAGAAGCAUCAGACUUUUAAGAAUGCUUAAGUCAUGUAAAAAUGUACCAAAAUUAUUAUCAUUACAGCUACUAGGUAAUAGCUGCCUACUCCAUGUUAGAUACUGUAGUUAAGUACCUCACAUAGUUUCACUGAUUCCUAAGAACACUGUUACUAACGCUUAUGGAGUAGGAAACUGAAGCUCUGAGAGGCUAUGCAACUAGUCAAUGGAAGUGUGGAGAUCUGAACGCUACCUAGUUCCAAAGGGUGUACUUUUUUCUAAAAUUUCUAAUUUUUUUCCAAUUUCACAAUGGAGGGAGAGUUGUGACUAGAUUUGUCCAACAAUUUUAAUAAUUUCACUGGCUGGGUGGAGUGGCUCACGUCUGUAAUUCCAACACUGUGGGAGGCUGAGGUGGGAGGAUGGCUUGGGUCCAGGAGUUAGAGACAACUGGGCAACAGUGAAGAUUCCGACUCUAAAAAAAAACAAUAAUAAUUUCACAAAAAGGGGGGGGCUGAUUUCUAAAUUGGAACCUCUUGUUGAAAUCCUUAGAGCGCUAGUUAAACCCACUUCUUUUCAAAAAAUAAUUGACAGAUUAAAAAAAGGUUAGAAAUCCUUUUAAAGUAAAUGUCAUCACAGAUCUGCAAGUGAACUGUCAUUCUGGACAGGUCCCCAGUUAGUGGCUCUCUCCUGUGUACGCUAGCUAC